UAAUGUAUGGGGAUCUGCCCGAUAGAGGGGAAUAACUACUGGAAACGGUGGCUAAUACCGCAUAAUGUCUACGGACCAAAGCAGGGGCUCUUCGGACCUUGCACUAUCGGAUGGACCCAUAUGGGAUUAGCUAGUAGGUGGGGUAAAGGCUCACCUAGGCGACGAUCUCUAGCUGGUCUGAGAGGAUGAUCAGCCACACUGGGACUGAGACACGGCCCAG
rnacentral:rRNA from 1 species